AUUGAACGCUGGCGGCAGGCCUAACACAUGCAAGUCGAGCGAGCGGCGGACGGGUGAGUAAUGUAUGGGAAACUGCCUGAUGGAGGGGGAUAACUACUGGAAACGGUAGCUAAUACCGCAUACUAUCAGAUGAGCCCAUAUGGGAUUAGCUAGUAGGUGCGGUAAUGGCUCACCUAGGCGACGAUCCCUAGCUGGUCUGAGAGGAUGACCAGCCACACUGGGACGGAGACACGGUCCAGACUCCUACGGGAGGCAGCAGUGGGGAAUAUUGCACAAUGGGCGCAAGCCUGAUGCAGCCAUGCCGCGUGUAUGAAGAAGGCCUUCGGGUUGUAAAGCACUUUCAGUGGGGAGGCGUUACCCGCAGAAGAAGCACCGGCUAACUCCGUGCCAGCAGCCGCGGUAAUUC
rnacentral:rRNA from 1 species